UGAACGCUGGCGGCAGGCCUAACACAUGCAAGUCGAGCGGAUGAAGGGAGCUUGCUCCUGGAUUCAGCGGCGGACGGGUGAGUAAUGCCUAGGAAUCUGCCUGGUAGUGGGGGAUAACGUCCGGAAACGGGCGCUAAUACCGCAUACGUCCUGAGGGAGAAAGUGGGGGAUCUUCGGACCUCACGCUAUCAGAUGAGCCUAGGUCGGAUUAGCUAGUUGGUGGGGUAAAGGCCUACCAAGGCGACGAUCCGUAACUGGUCUGAGAGGAUGAUCAGUCACACUGGAACUGAGACACGGUCCAGACUCCUACGGGAGGCAGCAGUGGGGAAUAUUGGACAAUGGGCUAAAGCCUGAUCCAGCCAUGCCGCGUGUGUGAAGAAGGUCUUCGGAUUGUAAAGCACUUUAAGUUGGGAGGAAGGGCAGUAAGUUAAUACCUUGCUGUUUUGACGUUACCAACAGAAUAAGCACCGGCUAACUUCGUG
rnacentral:rRNA from 1 species